rnacentral:tRNA from 2 species
GCGGGAUUGGUUCAAUGGUACAACACCACCUUCCCAAGGUGGAAACACGGGUUCGAUUCCCGUAUCCCGCUCCA